rnacentral:sRNA from 1 species
GUUGGGUACGGAGAUAUGGUGCCGAAGACGUAUGUCGGAAUGUUUGUUGGCGCCCUCUGUGCAUUACUCGGCGUACUUACUAUAGCUUUACCCGUACCAGUUAUUGUCAGCAAC